rnacentral:rRNA from 1 species
GACGAACGCUGGCGGCGUGCCUAAUACAUGCAAGUUGAGCGCUGAAGGUUGGUACUUGUACCAACUGGAUGAGCAGCGAACGGGUGAGUAACGCGUGGGGAAUCUGCCUUUGAGCGGGGGACAACAUUUGGAAACGAAUGCUAAUACCGCAUAAAAACUUUAAACACAAGUUUUAAGUUUGAAAGAUGCAAUUGCAUCACUCAAAGAUGAUCCCGCGUUGUAUUAGCUAGUUGGUGAGGUAAAGGCUCACCAAGGCGAUGAUACAUAGCCGACCUGAGAGGGUGAUCGGCCACAUUGGGACGGAGACACGGCCCAAACGCCUACGGGAGGCAGCAGUAGGGAAUCUUCGGCAAUGGACGAAAGUCUGACCGAGCAACGCCGCGUGAGUGAAGAAGGUUUUCGGAUCGUAAAACUCUGUUGGUAGAGAAGAACGUUGGUGAGAGUGGAAAGCUCAUCAAGUGACGGUAACUACCCAGAAAGGGACGGCUAACUACGUG